UGGGUUGAAGACAAGGGCCUGACACUCUUUGAUAGAGAAAGAUAGUCUUAUUGCGAUUCCUAUAAGAGGAAAGAGAAAAUAGUGCAAUGCUUUGUCUUUAUCACCGACCGGGUUUUUUUUCAUGGUCGGGUUAUGGCAGCUUAGGAAGGAGGCUGAUGGCGAUAUACAGAAAUUUAUAAGAGUGAAAGAGACAAAAUACCGCAAGAUGCCAUACAUUAAACUGUCAAUCAUAUUGUCAAGAGUGCUAGUAAACAAUGUGGUUUUCUUAUUGUAGAAGUUUUAUAAAGUGAAUGAUUGUGUUUAUUAAGUAUUUAAUGGAGAUGUAAGAAGUUUUUACGUACAAUUAACAUGGUGGGUUGUUCAGUGGUUGCCUACAAAAGCAAUAGCUUGCGAAAAUAAGCGGGUGUAACAUUUCAUGCGUAAGUACAACUUUUUCGUAUUUUGAUCAUGUAUUUCUUUCUCAAAUCUCACAGGAACCAAGUUACUGAGUUACAUCAUUAGUUGGAUUAUGAAAAACUUGAUAAAAUAGGAGAUAUCAGUAAAUUAUUGCUAAAAAUAAAACAGAAAGUUUGGUUAUGUAAACCAGUCAAAUUCAGUAGUAUUUUAUUUAGGGUUGCAAACAAAUAGAAAAAAAAGUCCCCUGCAAUUACCCCAUAUUUCGGGAGUUUCAAGCUAUUUGAUAUUUCCAGCUUUCCGACGGAGGAUGAAAUUGUUAAAGAAUGGAUUGCGGGAACUGGAAAAUCAAAUUUGAUGCCUCACAAAUACUCGCGUAUUUGUUCCAAACAUUUUGAACAACAUUGUGUCCGCAAACUGGGCAAACGAACUUUCAUCGAAAAGUUUUCUUUUCCAACCUUGUUCAUACACGAGAGGAGAGAGAACAUUCUUUUCUUCAUCAUGUCAUGGAAAUCGUCCAUUCGUGCACGUCGUAGUCGUGGCAGUCUCAACAGCAUUCUGAAGCUAUUUUUGAACUUCAUAUAAUUGAUCCACAUGUUACAAGUGUAUGUGUAAAUAAAGUUUUCUUGACCCCCACAGUAUGCACAACGCGCAACACGUAAGAUUUUUUAUUUAAACACAAAUAUUCGGUUUUAAGUAACAGUUUUAAUGUAAAUGACCAUGUUAGCUUAAAAUCAUAUACUGCGUAUCUACUGAGGUGUCGCUCAAGCACACCGUCAAGAACCUUCGCUGCAAUAGGGUUGUUUCCAUUUUGAAAUGCUUGUAUUAUAUAAUAUAUAUAUAUUUACCAAAUUAUGGCCUAAAAUUCAAUUUAUUUGUGUUGUUCUCAAGUAAAAGGUACCACAUUGUCGCUUAUCAUAAGAACGCUCUUACAGGUUGUACGUAUAGAGAGCAAGCAAAUUGUAUCCUUAUGGUAAGCGACUAUGUGGUACCUUUUACUUGAGAACGACACAUUUAAUUAUUAUUUCUAGUAAGUACAGUUAUAAUAAUAUAAGUUUUGAAUAAAGAAAUUACCUCUUUUGAUA